rnacentral:rRNA from 1 species
GACGAACCGUGCGAACGUUAUUCGGAAUCACUGGGCUUAAAGCGCGUGUAGGCGGGACGGCACGUCUGUCGCUGAAAUCCCCCGGCUUAACCGGGGGACUGGCGUAGAUACGACCGUCCUGGAGGGGCGUAGGGGGACCUGGAACUUCCGGUGGAGCGGUGAAAUGCGUUGAGAUCGGAAGGAACGCCCGUGGCGAAAGCGAGGUCCUGGACGCCUACUGACGCUGAGACGCGAAAGCCAGGGGAGCGAACGGG